UACGUAGGGUGCAAGCGUUGUCCGGAAUUAUUGGGCGUAAAGAGCUCGUAGGCGGUCUGUCGCGUCGGAAGUGAAAACCCGGGGCUCAACCCCGGGCCUGCUUUCGAUACGGGCAGACUAGAGUUCGGCAGGGGAGACUGGAAUUCCUGGUGUAGCGGUGAAAUGCGCAGAUAUCAGGAGGAACACCGGUGGCGAAGGCGGGUCUCUGGGACGGUACUGACGCUGAGACGCGAAAGCGUGGGGAGCGAACAGG
rnacentral:rRNA from 1 species